rnacentral:rRNA from 1 species
UGAGGAAUAUUGGUCAAUGGGCGGGAGCCUGAACCAGCCAAGUCGCGUGAGGGGAAGAAGGUGCUGAGCAUUGUAAACCUCUUUUGCCGGGGAACAAACGCCGUCACGAGCUGGCGGUUUGAGUGUACCCGGAGAAAAGCAUCGGCUAACUCCGUGCC